rnacentral:siRNA from 1 species
CAUAAUAAUAGAGCAAGAUGAUGA